rnacentral:rRNA from 1 species
AUUGAACGCUGGCGGCAGGCUUAACACAUGCAAGUCGAGCGGAGAUGAGGUGCUUGCACCUUAUCUUAGCGGCGGACGGGUGAGUAAUGCUUAGGAAUCUGCCUAUUAGUGGGGGACAACAUUCCGAAAGGAAUGCUAAUACCGCAUACGCCCUAGGGGGGAAAGCAGGGGAUCUUCGGACCUUGCGCUAAUAGAUGAGCCUAAGUCGGAUUAGCUAGUUGGUGGGGUAAAGGCCUACCAAGGCGACGAUCUGUAGCGGGUCUGAGAGGGUGAUCCGCCACACUGGGACUGAGACACGGCCCAGACUCCUACGGGAGGCAGCAGUGGGGAAUAUUGGACAAUGGGCGGAAGCCUGAUCCAGCCAUGCCGCGUGUGUGAAGAAGGCCUUUUGGUUGUAAAGCACUUUAAGCGAGGAGGAGGCUACCUGGAUUAAUACUCUAGGAUAGUGGACGUUACUCGCAGAAUAAGCACCGGCUAACUCUGUGCCAGCCGCCGCAGUAACAC